rnacentral:lncRNA from 7 species
ACAUUGCUAAGUGGCAGCUGGGUGCUUCAAAGGGAGCGUGCUCCAAGGCACAGGCUGCAUCUGAAGGGCAGCACCAUUGCCCACCCUUAACUCAUAGCCUGUCCCAUCCCUAUCACUUGACUUGGAAAGGAGCUAGUUGAGGGGGCACCAGACCUCAGACAACACCAAAACUGUGGCCCCCUGGCUCAAGGGCCAGUCCUGCCCAAGGCUCUUGGUGACUGAAACACCAGUGAUCCCAAAGGAUGCUCCCAGCACAGAUCUGGUGUCCUGUAGCAAACGAUCCUGCUGGGUGGUUUUCCUCUGCCACCCUCUUCCAAGGCGCAGUACCACCGCAGGGCUUCAGUGGAGGAAUGCUUUGUGCUGGCUCUCCCUGCUUGGGCAAGUUUCUUCCGUCUGGGCAUGAGAAAACAUGAAGAACAGACAUUUGGGAUUCUUCAGUUUUACCGUGUGAAUGUUUCUUUUUCAGUUAGAUCCGCAGUUACAUAUGGGGCAUCGGAUAACAGACUGCCAUCUGCCCUUCUGCAAGCCAUUUCUGCCUACUACCAGGCCAAGCCAUGAAAUGGCCCUCCAUCUGCGGCUGGUCAAACUUUCCCUGGUUUAGACCAGCGGCUAAGAAAUAAAUGCAUUAUUGCCAUAUCAUUCAGCAAUACAGUGAUGGCUAGAGGAUGACACAAUCACCAAAAAGAACCAAAGUUAUCCCAUGAAGAGAAAGUGCUUUUCAGAAGGCUUAGUACCAGAGAAAAUCCUUUAUCAACUUACAGCCAUUUUCAAUUCUGGGGGACCUGCACACAAAUAUUUUUUAUCUGAAUAAGUAUUGUGACGAGCAAGCUUCUCCCUCAUAUACGAUUAACAGAAUAAAAGAUUUUACUUUAAUUUCAUAAAUUAAAGAAAUAAAUAAGUAACAGUUAAAUAAGCUUUUCUGCAAUCUUCCAUAUAAAAUUAAGUACACUAGUGUAAUUACGAAAAUGUAAUUUCAGAGGAAAUUUCUCCUUCAGUAUUACAACCUGGAUCUUUGUUUCAAAACUCAUAUAGGAAACAUGAGCUAGUGAUGUCAAAUAUGAAUAAACCAUUAAAUAUGUAUGCU